rnacentral:rRNA from 1 species
AGUGAACGCUGGCGGUAGGCCUAACACAUGCAAGUCGAACGGCAGCACAGUAAGAGCUUGCUCUUACGGGUGGCGAGUGGCGGACGGGUGAGGAAUACAUCGGAAUCUACUUUUUCGUGGGGGAUAACGUAGGGAAACUUACGCUAAUACCGCAUACGACCUACGGGUGAAGGCAGGGGAUCUUCGGACCUUGCGCGAUUGAAUGAGCCGAUGUCGGAUUAGCUAGUUGGCGGGGUAAAGGCCCACCAAGGCGACGAUCCGUAACUGGUCUGAGAGGAUGAUCAGCCACACUGGAACUGAGACACGGUCCAGACUCCUACGGGAGGCAGCAGUGGGGAAUAUUGGACAAUGGGCGCAAGCCUGAUCCAGCCAUACCGCGUGGGUGAAGAAGGCCUUCGGGUUGUAAAGCCCUUUUGUUGGGAAAGAAAAGCAGCAGGUUAAUACCCCGCUGUUCUGACGGUACCCAAAGAAUAAGCACCGGCUAACUUCGUG